GAUGAACGCUGGCGGCGUGCCUAAUACAUGCAAGUCGAGCGAACAGACGCGGAGCUUGCUCCUCUGACGUUAGCGGCGGACGGGUGAGUAACACGUGGAUAACCUACCUAUAAGACUGGGAUAACUUCGGGAAACCGGAGCUAAUACCGGAUAAUAUAUUGAACCGCAUGGUUCAAUAGUGAAAGACGGUUUUGCUGUCACUUAUAGAUGGAUCCGCGCCGCAUUAGCUAGUUGGUAAGGUAACGGCUUACCAAGGCAACGAUGCGUAGCCGACCUGAGAGGGUGAUCGGCCACACUGGAACUGAGACACGGUCCAGACUCCUACGGGAGGCAGCAGUAGGGAAUCUUCCGCAAUGGGCGAAAGCCUGACGGAGCAACGCCGCGUGAGUGAUGAAGGUCUUCGGAUCGUAAAACUCUGUUAUUAGGGAAGAACAAAUGUGUAAGUAACUAUGCACGUCUUGACGGUACCUAAUCAGAAAGCCACGGCUAACUACGUG
rnacentral:rRNA from 1 species